UCUCUCCCUCAACUCUCUCUCUCAGUCCACACCACCACCAGCCACUGCCUCACCGCCGUUGCCCCUCACACUCUCCUCACCUCCGUCACGUCGCCUUGCGCUCCUCACACUCUUCCACUCCUCCAUCGUGCCACCAGCCGCCACCGUGACGCUUCGUCUCUGUUCUCUCGAUCUCCGAUUUCUUCGUGCAUGUACGUUUAUCUCUCAGAUCUAAGAUUUUAGCCCUAAUACCCCACACCAUACUAUGGUUGCUAUUGAAUCCUCCAUCCGUGUGCGGAGGGUUGCUUGCCAUCAACGAUAUUUGGGGUUGCUGGCCUUCAUGCCUCAGAACAAGAGGGAGACUCUGAAUUACAUCAAGGAUAGGGUAUGAUCCCAGUUGCAAGGUUGGAAGGAGCGUUUGUUCUCGAUUGGUAGUAAGGAAGUGUUGCUUAAGGCUGUUAUUCAAGCCAUCCCCUGCUAUUCCAUGAACUGUUUUAAGCUUCCUUCUGGUCUCUUGCAUGAUAUUAGUAUGACGAUGACUCGUUUCUGGUGGGGUGAAUUUAAUGAGGACAAGCGUAUUCAUUGGGUCAGCUGGGACGUUAUGUGGCGACCUAAAUGCUUGGGCGGAAUGGGUUUUCGGGAUCUUAUUUCUUUCAAGAAAGGUCUUCUAGCUAAGCAGGGGUGGAGAAUUCUGCGAAAGCCGUCUUCAUUACUGGCCUUAGCCCUUAAGGGACGGUAUUUUAAAAACAUGUCUUUUUUGGAUGCAGAACUUGGAUCCAACCCAUCUUAUAUUUGGCGGAGCUUGUUAUGGGGUCGUUCUCUUCUUCAUACGGGUCUUCGUUGGCGAAUUGGGGAUGGUUUGAAUAUUCCCAUUUAUGGCUCUAACUGGCUUCCGAGAGAUGGCCGUCUUCAGGUACAAUCUCCUCCUCGUCUUCCUUUAUCUAGCACGGUUUCUAUUCUUAUGACGAGUUAGGGUGCCUAGAAUGAGGGGAUUGUUCGGAGUGCAUUUGAUGAAGAUGAGGCCAAUUUGAUUUUGCGUAUCCCAGUUGGUGUUGAUAGGAAGAAUGAUAUGAGAAUCUGGCACUAUGAUUCCAAGGGCUUGUUCUCAGUUAGAAGCAGAUAUCGAGUUGAUCAGUAUCGAAUUCUUAAUCGGCUUCCUUCUCCAUCCAGAUCAGAUUGUCGGCAAUUAUAGUGGUCGAGUAUGUGGAAAAUGAACAUUCCGGUUAAAAUUAAAAUUUUCUUGUGACGUGCCUGUCUUGAUCGUCUCCCAACAGGUGUUAAUUUGACGGCUCGUGGUGUUGCUGGGUCCAAUUGGUGUUGUUUGUGUGGGCGGAAUGGUGAAGAUCUCCUUCACUCUUUCUACCACUGUAAAAUUGCUGCUCGGGUAUGGAAGGCUUCACGAUUUCGUUUCCUUUUCCCGCCAGCGUUUGGAUUAUCUGUUAUGAAUACUUUGUGGGCGCGUAAGAAGCAUUUGGAUUGAGAGGAUAUGGAGGAGUUUUCCACGGUUUUGUGGGCCAUUUGGAAUUUGAGGAAUGAUUGGUUUUAUAACAAGGUGAGGCGGCGAUCUCUGGAGAACAUGGGAAGCUGUGCGACUGCUUAUUUGCAAGAUUUUUGAAGAGCUAAUGCCCGGGCCCUGUCAAACGAAUCUGCUAAUAGCUCUUUGCCUGAUCGUUGGAAUCCUCCUCCUAAGGGUUGUUACAAAAUUAAUUCUGAUGUUGCUUUUGAUUUGGUGUCGUCAUCAGUUGGUUUGGGUGUGGUUGUUAGGGAUUGCCACGGUCAGGUGAUGCUCUCGGCUGCGACUAGAAUUGAGUUUAUGGCAAGUGUUGAUUUGGCUAAAGUUUCGGCGACAAAAUGGGGUGUUGACUUGUGAGGUAAAUGGGUCUUAGACCUUGCGUGUUAGAAAUGGAUUCAUAUCGAGUUUUUCAGCUGUUGCAAUCGGAGGAGGAAGAUCUGUCGGAUGUCGGGUGGUUUGCUGAGAGGUUGAAUGUGGCAGAAACUGGUAUCUGUUCUUCUUCCUUCAAUUUUGUGAAGAGAGCUAGAAAUAAAGUGGCUCAUAUUCUUGCUAGAUUGGGUUUGUCUAAUAUGGGUAUUUCAAUUUGGUUAGAAGAAGGCCCCGAUGAUAUCCUUCAUGUACUGCUCCAAGAGAGCUCUUGUGUUUCUUUCUGAUUAUUAUUUUUGCCGUAAAAGAAAAGCUAAAGAAGUUUGGUGGGCUUAUUACUUUGUAAAGCCCAUUUGUGGGGGCUUUUAUGUAAGCCCAUAUGUUUUACCUACUUUCUCUUUACUUAUGUUUGUCGUGGGUAUGAGGUAGAGGCGUAGCAGAAAAUACAAAAUACAGCAGAAUCGUCUUCUUCUCUUUGGUGUGUACAGAGCAGUCAAAGGUGACAAAUACAGAAGCUUUCUUCUUGUAUAUUUGUCUUUUGUUCUCAUUUUCUUCGUGGGUUGUUCUGCUUAGAGCUUGAGCUUGUUAUUCUCUCCUCUUCCGUUUGUAUUGUUCUUGGAUAUUGAAGCUGAUAUAAGUUUUCUCUCA